UGGAUAUUUACUCUUAAAACGGUUCACCCUAAGGGUCUCAAUGAUUCUAUUUCAUUUCAAUGUUUUCUAUGAGCCUGGUGUAUACCUUUGGUGGAGUUCAAAUAGGUUCUUUUUAUGUAAAACUUGUUUCAAAUGGCUGGGACAUAGCCACACCUAUAUCCCCUUUAAAAUUCUCUCCUAUAUACAGUGAGUUCUACCUGUUUCUCCUGUGCUUGCCUAAGGAAUCAAACCAGUAGCAGAGCACCUCGGUAGGAGAGUUUAUGUGAGUAUACAUGCUCCUGUCUUUAAUGCUUUUACUAUACUUUGUAAUUUGUAAUUUUGAUCCUGUACAAGUGUUUCUAGCCACUCGUAUGUAUUCCUUGUAGGUCCAUUCCGUCGUUGAUACUGACACACUGAAUUUAUUUACUCGAAGAAUGUGUUACAUUGGAAAAUUGACUACUCUAGGUUUUCCAUACCUUCAUAACCACCACCUGAGGAAGACUUACACCAGGGGUCCCCAAACUAAGGCCCGGGGGCCGGAUGCGUCCCUCCAAGGGAGACAGCACACAUCUCUUCCUACCUAAUAUGUUGGAAUGCAGAUACAUGGUCCUCAAGGUGCUGGACCCAAAAGGGACACCAACUUGUACUUGCUGCAGGUUGUGCUAACAAACAUUUGGUAUAGUGCUACAGUUGUUUCUGAGACAUCCUCUGCCAGUGGCUCCCCCCCCCCCCCCCGCGCCCAAGGUAGGCAUUUGGCGCAUGUAAUUUUUCUCUUAGCAUGGGAGACCCUACCAGGAGCACUGCUACCAUCAGGAACACACAAUCCACAAAAAGGUGAUGCUAUUGAUGGAAAAGAUGCUGCAACAGUCUUCUCAUCUCACGUCUGCCUUUUUAUUCAGAGAUUAGAAAGUACAACCUUUUGCUGCCACCUGGUGGGCAACAUGUUUUCCACAGGUUUUUGUACCAGAUGUUUUUAAAAGUUGACAUAAGCAGAAAAGAGUUUGUGGAAUAGAGUGAUAUUGGACUUGUGUGGACUGAAUUCCACUCUUCAUCAGAUUUAGUGUCAAUGAAUCCAUGGCUUGCAAAUUCUUCAGUUAAGUGGUGCAUGUGCUACACCGCAACUGGACCAUUCAGGCAUCAUAAAAAUCAGAGACAGGAGAUGGGCUAUCUAAUGAUUCUGAGAACUGGCUUUUCACAAGGUUUGCAAAAUUCCUAGGGUCCCAAUGUAGUCCUUCUGGGGCACAGACAAAGGGGAAAAGAACAUACAUUACUAGAUAAAAAAAUUACUAGAUAAGCUUUGGUGUCUCAGGCAUGUUCUGUUUUAAGGCACCUUGUGGUGGGAUACAAGAAUAAAAUUGUUGUUGUUAUUGUUAUUGUUAUUGUUACUAUUAUUUUUAAAAAGAAAUUGUUCUGGCAAAGUAAAAACUUGGAGAGCAAAAGGUAAUGCUUUCCCUAACAAGGGUACUUUUGGCUCCUCCCACAAUUUCCCCUCCCACAAUUGAGGAAACGUUUCAUUUUAAACCUAGGAGCAACAAAUGCCAUCACAUUACAGAAUAGUCCAGGAGCUGCGGUGGUGCAAUGGGUUAAACCCUUUUGCCAAUUGGGCUGUUGUCCAGAAGGUUGCCGGUUUGAAUCCACAAGAUGGGGUGAGCUCCCAUCUGUCAGCCCAUUUUCCCCAAAAGAUGUUCCAAUAAGUGCUAGAUCCUGCUGGGAUUCUGAUCUGGUAAGGGAGCUUCUUCCUCCAUCCAUGUUUGCUCUUUGGGUGAGGAGGAAGCUCCCAAGAGAUGUUCCAGUAAGUCCAAGACCCCGGGGUUUCAACUGAAAUCCCAAUGGGAAGGAAAUAUUGAAGCACCUUGCCAUGCUCUGUGACCACAGGGUGGACUGUAGCCCCGUUCUAUGGAUUUUGUGAACAAACACUUUUGCACUCAAAAGGCAAGCUACAUAAUUAAUGAGACAUUAAAUUGGCUUUCAUGAUAAUUCUGUCUUCUUCCCUUAAAGAACUGAACCACCCAAGGACACACUGAGGCUUGGAUAAUUUUCUUGGAUGGAUGGUUAUACAUAUGCCCAAGAAAGUCCCAGUCCACUUUCAUUGUCAAUUAUGCCUUUGACCCUUGGCAUUUGAGAAGAGCUAUAUCAUGUGAUAUGUGCAGAGGCGGUCCAACCACCAGGCGGGGGAAGCAUUUGCCUGUGGUGCCAUUGUCCCGGGGUGCUGUGCAGGCCCCGGGGGGAUGGCGCCACCCCCCUGCCUCCUUCUCCUUUCAGCCUUUU
ensembl:lncRNA